GCUCCAAGACUUUCCAGAGUCAGAGAUGGACGUACUGCAAACUACCCUGAGGCCAGACAGAGCAUGCGUCGCCGAGAGGCUCCUGAUGAAAUAAUAAAACCCAAUUCUCAUCUAGAAAAAAGAAUCAUUAUAGGAGGAUGACACCUGCUUUUCUGGAAAACCUGGAAGCCAUUGGCAGGGCUGUCUGGACCCCUCCUCCAGUCCUCCCAAGGCCUUGCCUGGACACAAGUGACAUCUACAUAGACAGCCACACUGGUGGAACACAAGGGGGAGGGGUGGGGAUUCGGUGUGGCCUCAGUUGUUCUCAAAUUACAUGAUAAAGUAGAUGUAGUGGAUCCUUUACACCAAAAGGAGUUGUGGAGUCCAGUUAUAAGAAUCCAUAACAUGUUAGCAGGACUCAUUGUAGCCUCCUCCUCAGAAGAGCCGAGGAACUCAGCCACACCCUUAAAGGCAAGGUGAUUGCACUACAGUUAGUUGACCUAUCUGGAAAAUUAAAGCUUCCCUGUGGUUUGAGGUUCUGCUCCUUUCUUUCUUUUUUUUUUUUUUUUUUUCUUUUUGGAAUUCUUACAAGUUUUUGUUUUUGUUUUGUUUUUUACCACCCUUGAGAUCCAGGUGAGGCUUUUGCUUGGAGUAGUUUGUGCAUCCUAUGGAGACAGGUUAUCAGGGUUGUGCUAACACUGUGCACUUCGGUCUGGGGUGGGGGGUUAGGUAGGUGUUGGGGUGCAGUGGGGGGAAAUUCUGCUUGAAGUCUGCAUGGGCCAAUGCCGAAUUCAGACUUGGCUGCCAAACCCAUCACGAGUCCGUGCUGUGCAAAGGGAGCAGACCCGAGGCAAGGAAUCCGAGCACUCAGAUGUGUUCGCACGCACUCCUCCCUUGCAAAGUUGUGCGGUUCGCCGGGAGGAGCUCCUUCCCUUUGGCUCUUCUGGCCCAGACGUCUGUGGAGUCCAUGUGCAGCCAAGGGCAUCACUGGCCAGAAGUGAAAUUCUGGAAGCACGUCCCAGGAAGAAAAUAAAUACAGAUUAUCUUGAAUAUAAUGGAUGUGUUCAGAGACCAUGCUUCAUGUUUUACUGA
rnacentral:lncRNA from 1 species